rnacentral:rRNA from 1 species
UACGUAGGGUGCGAGCGUUUAAUCGGAAUUACUGGGCGUAAAGCGUGCGCAGGCGGUUUUGUAAGUCAGAUGUGAAAGCCCCCGGGCUCAACCUGGGAAUUGCAUUCGAGACUGAAUAGCUAGGGUGCGGUAGAGGGAAGCGGAAUUUCCGGUGUAGCGGUGAAAUGCGUAGAUAUCGGAAGGAACAUCAGUGGCGAAAG